ACGCUGGCGGCAGGCCUAACACAUGCAAGUCGAGCGGUAGAGAGAAGCUUGCUUCUCUUGAGAGCGGCGGACGGGUGAGUAAUGCCUAGGAACCUGCCUGGUAGUGGGGGAUAACGUUCGGAAACGGACGCUAAUACCGCAUACGUCCUACGGGAGAAAGCAGGGGACCUUCGGGCCUUGCGCUAUCAGAUGAGCCUAGGUCGGAUUAGCUAGUUGGUGAGGUAAUGGCUCACCAAGGCGACGAUCCGUAACUGGUCUGAGAGGAUGAUCAGUCACACUGGAACUGAGACACGGUCCAGACUCCUACGGGAGGCAGCAGUGGGGAAUAUUGGACAAUGGGCGAAAGCCUGAUCCAGCCAUGCCGCGUGUGUGAAGAAGGUCUUCGGAUUGUAAAGCACUUUAAGUUGGGAGGAAGGGUUGUAGAUUAAUACUCUGCAAUUUUGACGUUACCGACAGAAUAAGCACCGGCUAACUCUGUGCCAGCAGCCGCGGUAAUACAGAGGGUGCAAGCGUUAAUCGGAAUUACUGGGCGUAAAGCGCGCGUAGGUGGUUUGUUAAGUUGGAUGUGAAAUCCCCGGGCUCAACCUGGGAACUGCAUUCAAAACUGACUGACUAGAGUAUGGUAGAGGGUGGUGGAAUUUCCUGUGUAGCGGUGAAAUGCGUAGAUAUAGGAAGGAACACCAGUGGCGAAGGCGACCACCUGGACUAAUACUGACACUGAGGUGCGAAAGCGUGGGGAGCAAAC
rnacentral:rRNA from 1 species